rnacentral:rRNA from 1 species
GUAAGCUACUAAGAGUAAGUGGUGGAUGCCUUGGCUAGUAGAGGCGAUGAAAGACGUGCCAGGCUGCGAUAAGUCUCGGGGAGCCGUCAAGGGGCUUUGAUCCGGGAAUUUCUGAAUGGGGCAACCCAACUAAUAGAGAUAUUAGUUACCGUAUAACGGAGCGAACGAGGGGAAUUGAAACAUCUUAGUACCCUCAGGAAAAGAAAUCAAAAGAGAUUACGCUAGUAGCGGCGAGCGAACGCGUAAGAGGGCAAACCACUAGUUUACUAGUGGGGUUGUAGGACUGCAAUAUAGACUAAACUUAGCUAAUAGAACAACCUGGAAAGGUUAGGCACAGAGGGUGAUACCCCCGUAUAUGAAAGCUUUGUUUUACUUAGCAGUAUCCUGAGUAGGGCGGAACACGUGAUAUUCUGUCUGAAGCUGGGUAGACCACUAUCCAACCCUAAAUACUACUACUAGACCGAUAGUGCACAAGUACCGUGAGGGAAAGGUGAAAAGAACUGAGGUGAUCAGAGUGAAAUAGAACCUGAAACCAUUUGCUUACAAUCAUUCAGAGCCCUAUGAUUUAUCAGGGUGAUGGACUGCCUUUUGCAUAAUGAGCCUGCGAGUUGUGAUGUCUGGCGAGGUUAAGGAAACCCGGAGCCGUAGCGAAAGCGAGUCUUAAUAGGGCGUUUAGUCAGACGUUGCAGACCCGAAACGAUGUGAUCUAUCCAUGAGCAGGUUGAAACCGGUGUAAGAGCCGGUGGAGGACCGAACCCGCUAGCGUUGAAAAGCUAUGGGAUGACUUGUGGAUAGGGGUGAAAGGCCAAUCAAACAUCGUGAUAGCUGGUUCUCUCCGAAAUAUAUUUAGGUAUAGCGUCAUGUAGUAACACUAGGGGGUAGAGCACUGAAUGGGCUAGGGCAUACACCAAUGUACCAAACCCUAUCAAACUCCGAAUACCUAGUGUGUAAUCAUGGCAGUCAGGCGGCGAGUGAUAAAAUCCGUCGUCGAGAGGGGAACAACCCAGACUAACAGCUAAGGUCCCUAAAUCUCAUUUAAGUGGAAAACGAUGUGAAGUUACUUAAACAACCAGGAGGUUGGCUUAGAAGCAGCCAUCCUUUAAAGAAAGCGUAAUAGCUCACUGGUCUAGUGAUUCUGCGCGGAAAAUAUAACGGGGCUAAAAUGAGUACCGAAGCUUUAGACUUGCACUUAAUCAUUUAUACUUGGCUUGGCUUUUGAGCGUCUUUAAAUGAGCUCGUAAAAAUAAAUGCUCACGAACUAUAUGUUCGCUUCGCUUUAUUUUUACGUCGCAACAUUUAAAUCCAUCUCAAAAAUCCUGCGCCAUCUUGAGUUCAAAUUUGAACUAAAUGUCUUAAUCUAAAAUUCUAUAAAUUUCAAAUUUCUUAGAAUUUUAAAAUUUAGCAACAAAAAGCAAAAAGACAAAUAAAGCUUUUAAGAUAAAGGCGAAGUAAUUUUGUCUUUAGGCGAGGCGAAUUUUAGCAAAGCAAGGGAGUUAUCGUUUGGAUAAUGACCGAAGCUGAGCGAAAAUUCAACGAAGCAUAAAGCAAAAAGACAAGCCUAAGUAAAGUAUAAAUACUCAUAGACACUGUGGUAGGAGAGCGUUGCAUUCAGCGUCGAAGGUGUACCGGUAAGGAGCGCUGGAGCGAAUGCAAGUGAGCAUGCAGGCAUGAGUAGCGAUAAUUGGGGUGAGAAUCCCCAACGCCGUAAACCCAAGGUUUCCUACGCGAUGCUCGUCAUCGUAGGGUUAGCCGGGUCCUAAGCAAAGUCCGAAAGGGGUAUGCGAUGGAAAAUUGGUUAAUAUUCCAAUGCCAACUAUAAUGUGCGAUGGAAGGACGCUUAGAGUUAGAGGAGCCAGCGGAUGGUAGUGCUGGUCGAAAGGUGCAGGUUGGAGUUCAGGCAAAUCCGAACUCCUUUAAGCCGAGGCCUUAUAGGUGCGUGAAGUUCUUCGGAAUGAAUCGUAAAUCCUUGAUACUGUCGAGCCAAGAAAAGUUUCUAAGUUUAGUUAUAGUUGCCCGUACCGUAAACCGACACAGGUGGGUGGGAUGAGUAUUCUAAGGCGCGUGGAAGAACUCUCUUCAAGGAACUCUGCAAAAUAGCACCGUAUCUUCGGUAUAAGGUGUGCCUAACUUUGUGAAGGAUUUACUCCGUAAGCAUUGAAGGUUACAACAAAGAGUCCCUCCCGACUGUUUACCAAAAACACAGCACUCUGCUAACUCGUAAGAGGAUGUAUAGGGUGUGACGCCUGCCCGGUGCUCGAAGGUUAAUUGAUGACGUUAGCUCUGCGAAGCGUUUGAUCGAAGCCCGAGUAAACGGCGGCCGUAACUAUAACGGUCCUAAGGUAGCGAAAUUCCUUGUCGGUUAAAUACCGACCUGCAUGAAUGGCGUAACGAGAUGGGAGCUGUCUCGAAGAGGGAUCCAGUGAAAUUGUAGUGGAGGUGAAAAUUCCUCCUACCCGCGGCAAGACGGAAAGACCCCGUGGACCUUUACUACAGCUUGACACUGCUAUUGGGAUAAAAAUGUGCAGGAUAGGCGGGAGGCUUUGAUCCAUAGACGCCAGUUUAUGGUGAGCCAUUGUUGAGAUACCGCUCUUUUUUAUUCUGAUAGCUAACUAGCUUGAGUUAUCCUCAAGUAGGACAAUGUCUGGUGGGUAGUUUGACUGGGGCGGUCGCCUCCCAAAAUGUAACGGAGGCUUACAAAGGUUGGCUCAGAACGGUUGGAAAUCGUUCGUAGAGUAUAAAGGCAUAAGCCAGCUUAACUGCGAGACAUACACGUCAAGCAGAGACGAAAGUCGGUCUUAGUGAUCCGGUGGUUCUGUGUGGAAGGGCCAUCGCUCAAAGGAUAAAAGGUACCCCGGGGAUAACAGGCUGAUCUCCCCCAAGAGCUCACAUCGACGGGGAGGUUUGGCACCUCGAUGUCGGCUCAUCGCAUCCUGGGGCUGUAGUCGGUCCCAAGGGUUGGGCUGUUCGCCCAUUAAAGCGGUACGCGAGCUGGGUUCAGAACGUCGUGAGACAGUUCGGUCCCUAUCUGCCGUGGGCGCAAGAAGAUUGAGGAGAGUUGACCCUAGUACGAGAGGACCGGGUUGAACCGACCACUGGUGUACCAGUUAUCCUGCCAAGGGUAGCGCUGGGUAGCUAUGUCGGGAUGAGAUAACCGCUGAAAGCAUCUAAGCAGGAAGCCAACUCCAAGAUGAAUCUUCUUUUAAGAGCUCAUAUAGACUAUGUGUUUGAUAGGCUGGGUGUGUAAUGGAUGAAAGUCCUUUAGCUGACCAGUACUAAUAGCUCGUCUGCUUAUCUUUU